GAAUAAAUGCGCAAGAGAAGCUGGAAAGCAAAAGAGUGAGGAAGAUGAAGAAGAUGCUGAAAGCCUGCAAAAUGUGAAAAUCAUUCCUGUUUCUGUGAUAAAUCUGGCACCUGAGAACACCUGCAGUACCUCAUGGAAAGCUUCCUCAUCAUCGGGCCAAGAACAUCUUAACUGUGCUGUAGAUUUAUGGAUUCAGAAGCUGGAGGCCUGGACAGUUCAAAAUAAGGCAAGAGGAAUGAGAGAGGUCUGGGAGAACGGAAUCACGUACAGGUCACACUACAAAUGUUUCUUUGGUCUUCUGUCAGAGGAUGUGGCCCGCAUCCAUUUUAUAAUAGUGCCUUCAGUAAUACCAAGUAUAUUAGGCUAGAAUUCUAG
ensembl:lncRNA